CCUACGGGUGGCUGCAGUGGGGAAUAUUGGACAAUGGGGGCAACCCUGAUCCAGCCAUGCCGCGUGUGUGAAGAAGGCCCUCGGGUUGUAAAGCACUUUCAGUGAGGAAGAACGCCUGGUGGUUAAUACCCAUCAGGAAAGACAUCACUCACAGAAGAAGCACCGGCUAACUCCGUGCCAGCAGCCGCGGUAAUACGGAGGGUGCGAGCGUUAAUCGGAAUUACUGGGCGUAAAGCGCGCGUAGGUGGCUUGAUAAGCCGGUUGUGAAAGCCCCGGGCACAACCUGGGAACGGCAUCCGGAACUGUCCAGCUAAAGUGCAGGAGAGGAAGAUAGACUUCCCGGUGUAGCGGUGAAAUGCGUAGAGACCGUGAGGAAUACCAGUGGCGAAGGCGACCUUCUGGACUGACACUGACACUGAGGUGCAAAAGCGUGGGUAGCAAACAGGCUUAGAAACCCUGGUAGUC
rnacentral:rRNA from 1 species